rnacentral:rRNA from 1 species
AGAGUUUGAUCCUGGCGUCAGGAUGAAACGCUGGCGGCGUGCUUAACACAUGCAAGUCGAACGAGAACCAAUGGAAUGAGGAUUCGUCCAAAGGAAGUUGGGGAAAGUGGCGACGGGUGAGUAACGCGUGAGCAAUCUGCCUUGGAGUGGGGAUAACGGUUGGAAACAGCCGCUAAUACCGCAUGAUACAGCUAUCCCGCAUGGGGUUGGCUGUCAAAGAUUUAUCGCUCUGAGAUGAGCUCGCGUCUGAUUAGCUUGUUGGCGGGGUAACGGCCCACCAAGGCGACGAUCAGUAGCCGGACUGAGAGGUUGGUCGGCCACAUUGGGACUGAGACACGGCCCAGACUCCUACGGGAGGCAGCAGUGGGGAAUAUUGGGCAAUGGGCGCAAGCCUGACCCAGCAACGCCGCGUGAAGGAAGAAGGCUUUCGGGUUGUAAACUUCUUUUCUCAGGGACGAAGAAAGUGACGGUACCUGAGGAAUAAGCCACGGCUAACUACGUG